CACCUCUGAAUUAACUAUGAGAUCCUAUCACAUCCUUUGACGGACGGCCCCCCGGAGUAGGUAUCAUCCUCCAACUCUGUUCCCAAUUUUCUUUUCUCGGUUCUGUACGAUGCCUUGAUAAUGCGCACCAACCAGCAGGGCGAGAUUAAAGACGAUGGGAUCGACCAUCCUGUCUCCUAGUGACAAGGUUUUUCUGCCAUUUCAAAACAAAUGAGAGAGAGAGAGCCAUGGAGAAACUACUGUGGGUGUUACCUUUUCGACGUCGGGAAAGGUGGAAGGAAGAUGGCCAGGCCGCUCCCACCGGCGACAUGGAGGAGACAGAGAAGAGGAGAGAUGGCAGCGGCCUGCAGUUAUCCCUGUUGAUAGCUUCCAAACCCCGGCAAGGUAAGCAGGAGAGACAGCGAUCGCCAACGGGUAGAGAUGCAGAGAGGCUAGCAAAUAGCUUGCAGUCAUCACUCUCUUCCCUCAGUGCCAAGGAUCGAUGAAAGCCCAAGUUCUAUCCUCUUUCAGAGGGCCGCAAUAUGGGUACUGUGAGGGCUUCAGAGAUGGGUUCUUGCGGCAGCCGGAGCUUCGUUCUCCGCGAUGAAUAAGCAGAAAUGAGGAGAAGAAUAUAAAGGUGGCGGCUGCUCGUGCUCAUCUAUUCGCGAUCGCCAGGUAGGUACCCAUUUUCCAUACAAUAAUGUAGCACUCUCACACGUGGGCUCCCUCCACGGUGUACCUCCCUCCCCCCCUCUCAGUCUCCACUGUGUGCGUUGAUGUGAUGUCUGCGGCUGGCCUCAUCGUCUUCCCACUAAGGC
rnacentral:lncRNA from 1 species